GGCGUGGGGACAGUGUCUGGUGGGUAGUUUGACUGGGGCGGUCUCCUCCCAAAGUGUAACGGAGGAGCACGAAGGUCAGCUAAUCCUGGUCGGACAUCAGGAGGUUAGUGCAAUGGCAUAAGCUGGCUUGACUGCGAGAGUGACGGCUCGAGCAGGUGCGAAAGCAGGUCAUAGUGAUCCGGUGGUUCUGUAUGGAAGGGCCAUCGCUCAACGGAUAAAAGGUACUCCGGGGAUAACAGGCUGAUACCGCCCAAGAGUUCAUAUCGACGGCGGUGUUUGGCACCUCGAUGUCGGCUCAUCACAUCCUGGGGCUGAAGUAGGUCCCAAGGGUAUGGCUGUUCGCCAUUUAAAGUGGUACGCGAGCUGGGUUUAGAACGUCGUGAGACAGUUCGGUCCCUAUCUGCCGUGGGCGCUGGAGAAUUGAGGGGGGCUGCUCCCAGUACGAGAGGACCGGAGUGGACGCAUCACUGGUGUUCGGGUUGUCAUGCCAAUGGCACUGCCCGGUAGCUAAAUGCGGAAGAGAUAAGUGCUGAAAGCAUCUAAGCACGAAACUUGCCCCGAGAUGAGUUCUCCCUGAGACUAUAAGUCUCCUGAAGGAACGUUGAAGACGACGACGUUGAUAGGCCGGGUGUGUAAGCGCAGCGAUGCGUUGAGCUAACCGGUACUAAUGAACCGUGAGGCUUAACCUUACAACGCCAAAGAAGU
rnacentral:rRNA from 1 species